rnacentral:rRNA from 1 species
CAGUAGCCGCGGUAAUACGUAGGUGGCAAGCGUUGUCCGGAAUUAUUGGGCGUAAAGGGCUCGCAGGCGGUUUCUUAAGUCUGAUGUGAAAGCCCCCGGCUCAACCGGGGAGGGUCAUUGGAAACUGGGAAACUUGAGUGCAGAAGAGGAGAGUGGAAUUCCACGUGUAGCGGUGAAAUGCGUAGAGAUGUGGAGGAACACCAGUGGCGAAGGCGACUCUCUGGUCUGUAGCUGACGCUGAGGAGCGAAAGCGUGGGGAGCGAACAGGAUUAGAUACCCGUGUAGUCCCUGUCUCUUAUAC